rnacentral:rRNA from 1 species
GACGUAGGGGGCGAGCGUUGUCCGGAUUUAUUGGGCGUAAAGCGCGCGCAGGCGGCUCGGAUAGUCGGGUGUGAAAACCCAGGGCUCAACCCCGGGCCUGCAUCCGAUACUGCCGGGCUAGAGGCAGGCAGGGGAGAGUGGAAUUCCUGGUGUAGCGGUGAAAUGCGCAGAUAUCAGGAGGAACACCGGUGGCGAAGGCGGCUCUCUGGGCCUGUCCUGACUCUCAGGCGCGAAAGCUAGGGGAGCAAACAGG